rnacentral:rRNA from 1 species
ACGAAUUGUGCAAACGUUAUUCGGAAUCACUGGGCUUAAAGGGUGCGUAGGCGGCCAUGAAGGUCUGAUGUGAAAUCCCACAGCUCAACUGUGGAAUUGCGUUGGAAACCACAUGGCUUGAGGAAGACAGAGGUGAGCGGAACUGAUGGUGGAGCGGUGAAAUGUGUUGAUAUCAUCAGGAACACCGGUGGCGAAAGCGGCUCGCUGGGUCUUUUCUGACGCUGAGGCACGAAAGCUAGGGUAGCAAACGGG